CUCAGCGUCAGUUAUGGACCAGUUAGCCGCCUUCGCCACUGGUGUUCCUGCGAAUAUCUACGAAUUUCACCUCUACACUCGCAAUUCCACUAACCUCUUCCAUACUCAAGAUACCCAGUAUCAAAGGCAGUUCCGCAGUUGAGCUGCGGGAUUUCACCCCUGACUUAAAUAUCCGCCUACGUGCGCUUUACGCCCAGUAAUUCCGAACAACGCUAGCCCCCUUCGUAUUACCGCGGCUGCUGGCACGAAGUUAGCCGGGGCUUCUUCUCCGACUACCGUCAUUAUCUUCAUCGGUGAAAGAGCUUUACAACCCUAAGGCCUUCAUCACUCACGCGGCAUGGCUGGAUCAGGCUUGCGCCCAUUGUCCAAUAUUCCCCACUGCUGCCUCCCGUAGGAGUUUGGGCCGUGUCUCAGUCCCAAUGUGGCUGAUCAUCCUCUCAGACCAGCUAUGGAUCGUCGCCUUGGUAGGCCUUUACCCCACCAACUAGCUAAUCCAACGCGGGCUCAUCCAUCCCCGAUAAAUCUUUCCCCCGUAGGGCGUAUGCGGUAUUAGCUCCAGUUUCCCGGAGUUGUUCCGCAGGGAUGGGUAGAUUCCCACGUGUUACUCACCCGUCUGCCGCUCCCCUUGCGGGGCGCUCGACUUGCAUGUGUUAAGCCUGCCGCCAGCGUUCGUU
rnacentral:rRNA from 1 species